rnacentral:rRNA from 1 species
AUUGAACGCUAGCGGGAUGCUUUACACAUGCAAGUCGAACGGCAGCGCGGACUUCGGUCUGGCGGCGAGUGGCGAACGGGUGAGUAAUGUAUCGGAACGUGCCCAGUAGCGGGGGAUAACUACGCGAAAGCGUAGCUAAUACCGCAUACGCCCUACGGGGGAAAGCAGGGGAUCGUAAGACCUUGCACUAUUGGAGCGGCCGAUAUCGGAUUAGCUAGUUGGUGAGGUAACGGCUCACCAAGGCGACGAUCCGUAGCUGGUUUGAGAGGACGACCAGCCACACUGGGACUGAGACACGGCCCAGACUCCUACGGGAGGCAGCAGUGGGGAAUUUUGGACAAUGGAGGCAACCCUGAUCCAGCCAUCCCGCGUGUGCGAUGAAGGCCUUCGGGUUGUAAAGCACUUUUGGCAGGAAAGAAACGUCGCGGGCUAAUACCCCGUGGAACUGACGGUACCUGCAGAAUAAGCACCGGCUAACUACGUG